GGGGGAAAAUUUAAAUAGAUAAUAAUUAAUAAAAAAAAUUUUAAUAUAAAAAUAUUUAAUGGGGGUUAAAGUAUUUUUAUAGAAAAAAUUUAAAUUUUUAUAGUUAAGUAGUAUUGUAUAAGAAAGUUGAAAUAAUAAGUGAAAAAAAAAUUAUUUAAAAGUAAAUUCAAAUUAUUGUAUCUUGUGUAUCAGAGUUUAUUAAAUAGGAUUUAUUUUUUAAAUUUCUCGAAUUUAAAAGAGUUAAUUAAUUAAAAAAUUUAUUGUUUCAUAAAUAUUUUAAAUAGUUAAUUAGAAAUGAAAUGUUAUUCGUUUUUAAAUAUAUCUAGUUUUUUUAGAAAAAAAUUAAAUUUUAAAUUAAAUUUAAAAAUUAAUUAAUUAAUUAAUUAAUUUUUAAAUUUAAUUAAAUAUUUUAAGGGAUAAGCUUUAAAUUAAAUUUUUAUAAUUUAAAAAUGAAUAUUUUUGAAAAUUUUAUAAUUUAUAUUGUUAAUAAAUUUUAAUUUAUUAUAAAUAAUUUCAAUAAAAUUUAAAAUUUAAUUAAAAAUUUAAUUUAUUAUAAAAAAAUAAAAAUAAAUUUUAUAUUUUUAGUUAUAAUGAUAAAAUUAGUAAAUAAAAUGUGAUAUAAAUUAAAAUUUAUUAUAUAAUAAUUAUUUUAAAGGAAUUCGACAAAUGUAUAUAUUUACCUGUUUAUCAAAAACAUGUCUUUUUGAUUAUAAUUUAAAGUCUAAUCUGCCCACUGAUAAAUAAAUUAAAGGGCUGCAGUAUAUUGACUGUACAAAGGUAGCAUAAUCAUUAGUCUCUUAAUUGGUGACUUGUAUGAAGGAUUGGAUAAAAUAUAAAUUGUCUCUAAAAUAUUUAAUUGAAUUUAAUUUUUUAAUUAAAAAGUUAAAAUAGAUUAAAAAGACGAGAAGACCCUAUAGAGUUUUAUAUUUUAUUAAUAUAAAUUAUAAAUUAACUUGAAUAAUUUAUAUUAAGAAGAUUAUUUUAUUGGGGUGAUAAAAAAAUUAAAUUAACUUUUUUUAAAAUUUUACAUAGAUAAUUGAAUUAUUGAUCCAUUAAUAUUGAUUAUAAGAAAAAAUUACCUUAGGGAUAACAGCGUAAUUUUUUUUUUUAGUUCAAAUAAAAAAGAGAGUUUGCGACCUCGAUGUUGGAUUAAGAUAAAAUUUAAAUGCAAAAGUUUAAAAUUUUUGAUCUGUUCGAUCAUUAAAAUCUUACAUGAUCUGAGUUCAAACCGGUGUAAGCCAGGUUGGUUUCUAUCUUUUGAUAUUAUUAUUAAUAUUUUAGUACGAAAGGAUCAAAUAUUAUAAUUAAAUUAAAUUAAUUUGAUUUUUAUUAAAGUUAUAAUAUAAUUAUA
rnacentral:rRNA from 1 species